CAUCAGCGUCACUAUCUAACGAUUCCUCCGUUCGCUCGUCGGGGGGCACACCCAGAUUUCCCGAGUUACAUACAUAAGAAGCUCCUCAUCA
rnacentral:snoRNA from 1 species